CCUGGACACCGGUACAGCGUUUCAUUCAUAUCCGCACAGGGAAAUCACGCUCGCAUUAGGCUGUCUGUGUGCAGAAACAACAUCACAUCAGAGGGUCUGCUGUUGUUGGCUCGGGCUGUGAAAUCCAGCUCGACUCUGACUCACAUCUACAUCUGGGGAAACCACCUGGAGGAGCCCGUAUGCCAGGUACACCCCUCAGAUGUCUGUUUCAUCUUCUCCUCUAACAUCCCAUCACCCCUCUAACAGAUCCAUGCCAUAAAAGUGCACAUGAGUAUUAUACACAACAACAUCAGCAUCAGCACCCUGCAGACACACAGGUUAGAUGUGACUAUAACGGCUUCAUCAGAUUUGGACUCUCAGAGAAUAAAAACCGUUCAGAAGUCGCCUGAGAAUGAUCAAGAUUUUAGGAUUUCUACACAGUUGAACAAAUUCCUUGAUAUUCAUCAGUGUGUUUAAUUGUUCACAGCAUUUAGAGACUGUUCAUAUUUAAUUCUGUAUAGUUUAUGUUGCUUUUAAAUUAAUCCCUAAAACUUUUUUCUGAUUUUCAAUUUUUUUUGACAUCAGGGUUUUUAACUGUAAGUAAAAAGCAAAUGAGAUUUUAUUUUUAAAUUUGAUUGGGUUUUGUUGUUUUGUUGUUUUUUUUCUUUUGUUUGUGAAUUUAUAAGUUCUCUGGGACGACACAAUUUUUAAAAUUGUAUUAUAAUAUAAAACAAAGAAAAGGGGGACAUCAAAAAAAGUUUUUUUUAUUGGUCAAAAUGAAAGAAAACUUAAUUUCAUCUCUGAGUUUCCCUGUAACAGCAAGAAUGAUGCUCAAAGACGACCUCGUACUUCCAAAUUGAUUUUAUUCCACCUGUAAUCUGAGGUUAGUACAGAUCAUCUCCAAACAGACUCCUGAAACCAGGAGUCUGUUUGGAGAUGAUCUGUACUAACCUCAGAUUACAGGUGGAAUAAAAUCAAUUUGGAAGUACGAGGUCGUCUUUGAGCAUCAUUCUUGCUG
ensembl:lncRNA